GACGAACGCUGGCGGCGUGCUUAACACAUGCAAGUCGAGCGGUAAGGCCCUUUCGGGGGUACACGAGCGGCGAACGGGUGAGUAACACGUGGGUGACCUGCCUUUAGCUCUGGGAUAAGCCUGGGAAACCGGGUCUAAUACCGGAUAUGACUCCGCGGCGCAUGUUGUGGGGUGGAAAGCCUUGUGCGGCUGGAGAUGGGCCCGCGGCCUAUCAGCUUGUUGGUGGGGUGANGGCCUACCAAGGCGACGACGGGUAGCCGGCCUGAGAGGGCGACCGGCCACACUGGGACUGAGACACGGCCCAGACUCCUACGGGAGGCAGCAGUGGGGAAUCUUGCGCAAUGGGCGAAAGCCUGACGCAGCGACGCCGCGUGAGGGAUGACGGCCUGGU
rnacentral:rRNA from 1 species